GCCAGACUCCUACGGGAGGCAGCAGUGGGGAAUAUUGGGCAAUGGGCGAAAGCCUGACCCAGCAACGCCGCGUGAAGGAAGAAGGCUUUCGGGUUGUAAACUUCUUUUGACAGGGAAGAGCAGAAGACGGUACCUGUCGAAUAAGCUCCGGCUAAAUACGUGCCAGCAGCCGCGGUAAUACGUAUGGAGCAAGCGUUAUCCGGAUUUACUGGGUGUAAAGGGAGCGCAGGCGGUCUGGCAAGUCUGAUGUGAAAUACCGGGGCUCAACUCCGGGACUGCAUUGGAAACUGUCAGACUGGAGUGUCGGAGAGGCAGGCGGAAUUCCUGGUGUAGCGGUGAAAUGCGUAGAUAUCAGGAGGAACACCAGUGGCGAAGGCGGCCUGCUGGACGAUGACUGACGCUGAGGCUCGAAAGCGUGGGGAGCAAACAGGAUUAGAUACCCGCGUA
rnacentral:rRNA from 1 species